AGGGAAGCGAAGCCGUGAGGUGGAGCAAAUCCCAAAAAAGCCGGUCUCAGUUCGGAUUGCAGGCUGCAACCCGCCUGCAUGAAGUCGGAAUCGCUAGUAAUCGCAGGUCAGCAUACUGCGGUGAAUACCGGUUCCCGGGCCUU
rnacentral:rRNA from 1 species